GAGUUUGAUCGUGGCUCAGAACGAACGCUGGCGGCAGGCCUAACACAUGCAAGUCGAACGCCCGUAGCAAUACGGGAGUGGCAGACGGGUGAGUAACACGUGGGAACGUACCCUUUGGUUCGGAACAACUCCGGGAAACUGGAGCUAAUACCGGAUAAGCCCUACGGGGGAAAGAUUUAUCGCCGAAGGAUCGGCCCGCGUCGGAUUAGCUAGUUGGUGGGGUAAAAGCUCACCAAGGCGACGAUCCGUAGCUGGUCUGAGAGGAUGACCAGCCACACUGGGACUGAGAC
rnacentral:rRNA from 1 species